rnacentral:rRNA from 1 species
UACGUAGGGAGCAAGCGUUAAUCGGAAUUACUGGGCGUAAAGCGUGCGCAGGCGGUGAUGUAAGACAGUUGUGAAAUCCCCGGGCUCAACCUGGGAACUGCAUCUGUGACUGCAUUGCUGGAGUGCGGCAGAGGGGGAUGGAAUUCCGCGUGUAGCAGUGAAAUGCGUAGAUAUGCGGAGGAACACCGAUGGCGAAGGCAAUCCCCUGGGCCUGCACUGACGCUCAUGCACGAAAGCGUGGGGAGCAAACAGG